rnacentral:rRNA from 1 species
CGACAGGCGUAGUCGAUGGACAACGGGUUGAUAUUCCCGUACCCGUGUGUGAGCGUCCCUGAUGAAUCCGUUCUGCUAACCGCCCAAAUGGUGGUCCACCAAUCCCUUCGGGGUGCGGGGUUCACCGGCUGCGCGGGACCCGGACGGGUAGUAGUCAAGCGACGGGGUGACACAGGAAGGUAGCCGUACCAGUCAGUGGUAAUACUGGGGUAAACCUGUAGGGAGAA